rnacentral:rRNA from 1 species
UACGUAGGGUGCAAGCGUUAAUCGGAAUUACUGGGCGUAAAGCGUGCGCAGGCGGUUUUGUAAGUCUGUCGUGAAAGCCCCGGGCUCAACCUGGGAAUUGCGAUGGAGACUGCAAGGCUUGAAUCUGGCAGAGGGGGGUAGAAUUCCACGUGUAGCAGUGAAAUGCGUAGAGAUGUGGAGGAAUACCGAUGGCGAAGGCAGCCCCCUGGGACAUGACUGACGCUCAUGCACGAAAGCGUGGGGAGCAAACAGG